GAUGAACGCUGGCGGCGUGCUUAACACAUGCAAGUCGAACGGAAAGGCUCCUGCUUGCAGGGGUACUCGAGUGGCGAACGGGUGAGUAACACGUGGGUGAUCUGCCCUGCACUUCGGGAUAAGCCUGGGAAACUGGGUCUAAUACCGGAUAGGUCGAUGGUUUGGAUGCCAUUGUGGAAAGUUUUUUCGGUGUGGGAUGGGCUCGCGGCCUAUCAGCUUGUUGGUGGGGUAAUGGCCUACCAAGGCGUCGACGGGUAGCCGGCCUGAGAGGGUGUACGGCCACAUUGGGACUGAGAUACGGCCCAGACUCCUACGGGAGGCAGCAGUGGGGAAUAUUGCACAAUGGGCGCAAGCCCGAUGCAGCGACGCCGCGUGGGGGAUGACGGCCUUCGGGUUGUAAACUCCUUUCGCUAGGGACGAAGCGCAAGUGACGGUACCUGGAGAAGAAGCACCGGCUAACUACGUG
rnacentral:rRNA from 1 species